rnacentral:rRNA from 1 species
GAUGAACGCUGGCGGCGUGCCUAAUACAUGCAAGUCGAGCGGACAGACGAUGAUCUUUCUCCUCUGACGUUAGCGGCGGACGGGUGAGUAACAGUUGGUUAACCGACCUUCACUUCUGGAAUAACGUCGGGAAGCCUGAGCUAAUAGCGGUGUAUAGAUUGUACCGCAUGGUUUGGUAGGGAAAGACUGUUUUGCUUUCUCUUUUAGAUGGAUCGGCGCCGCAUUAGCUAGUUGUUAGGGUAACGGCUUUCCAAGGCAACGAUGCGUAGCAGACCUCAGAGGGUGAUCGGCCACACUGGUACUGAGACACGGUCCAGACUCCUACGGGAGGCAGCAGUAGGGAAUGUUACGCAAUGGGCGACAGCAUGACGGAGCAACGCCGCGUGAGUGAUGAAGGUCUUCGGAUCGUAAAAAUCUGUUAUUAGGGAAGAAGAAAUGUGUAAGUAACGAUGCGCGUCUUGCCGGUACCUAAUCAGAAAGCCACGGCUAACUACGUG